rfam:Megasphaera cerevisiae DSM 20462 scaffold_96, whole genome shotgun sequence.
CGCUAGUAAUCGCAGGUCAGCAUACUGCGGUGAAUACGUUCCCGGGCCUUGUACACACCGCCCGUCACACCACGAAAGUCAUUCACACCCGAAGCCGGUGAGGUAACCGCAAGGAGCCAGCCGUCGAAGGUGGGGGCGAUGAUUGGGGUGAAGUCGUAACAAGGUAGCCGUAUCGGAAGGUGCGGCUGGAUCACCUCCUUU